rnacentral:rRNA from 1 species
UAGGGAAUCUUCCGCAAUGGGCGAAAGCCUGACGGAGCAACGCCGCGUGAGUGAUGAAGGUCUUCGGAUCGUAAAACUCUGUUAUUAGGGAAGAACAAAUGUGUAAGUAACUAUGCACAUCUUGUCGGUACCUAAUCAGAAAGCCACGGCUAACUACGUGCCAGCAGCCGCGGUAAUACGUAGGUGGCAAGCGUUAUCCGGAAUUAUUGGGCGUAAAGCGCGCGUAGGCGGUUUUUUAAGUCUGAUGUGAAAGCCCACGGCUCAACCGUGGAGGGUCAUUGGAAACUGGAAAACUUGAGUGCAGAAGAGGAAAGUGGAAUUCCAUGUGUAGCGGUGAAAUGCGCAGAGAUAUGGAGGAACACCAGUGGCGAAGGCGACUUUCUGGUCUGUAACUGACGCUGAUGUGCGAAAGCGUGGGGAUCAAACAGG